rnacentral:tRNA from 1 species
GGCGGACGUGGCCAAGUGGAUUAAGGC